GCCGGUGAGCAGGCUGUCCCCGAUGCAGGUACAGCCCCCCAUCCCCACACCAGGCAGAGCAAAGGCAGACAGCUUUGACCAGAGCAGGGUUCAGGGUGGCAGUGCCAUCAGACGCCUCUGCUGUCUCCCUCAGGUGACUGUUUCUGUAAUGGCUGAGCUGUGUCUGGCUUCAGUCUGAACCAUCAGUUUCCAAACAGUGCUGCCUCUUCCCACCUCCCACACACGAGGUCACAGAGGACCUGCGAAAGCCGGGCUAGCACCUACCUUUCCCCCACUCAGCGCCUGAAUCUCGAUGCUUUGGAUGGUGCCGAGCCAGACUCGCUGGGCUCAUUCUCUCCGUCUCCUGCUGAAUUCUCUGGCUGCUUCUCAGCUGUCAGGGUGCCAAGCUCCAUCCUGACCGUCUCCUGGCUCCAGCCGCAGCAGGAAAUGGGCCUGACCGUUGUUCUUCCACAGCUGAUGAGAAAAGGGUGGAAGACAGCCGCUGGUGUGCUGGAAUUGUGCCUUCGGAUGGAUGUGCCUUGAUCUUUCUUUACCUCUCUUCCCUCGCAGUGCCCUUCUUCUGACUUAAAGCUCAAACCCCCACUGGAAAAGUCCGGGGAGAAGGUCUUAGGCAUCGAGGAAUAGGCUGGCAAACUAACAUCUCUGUCGAUGCUGCCCAAAUCUCUCCACUGCUGUCCACCGUCUGACCCAGGCCCUUGGGUGGGAAAAAGCCAAGACAGGCCUGGAAAGAGGUCUCUCUGAGGAUGUGAAGAGAACACUGGUGAUGUGAUUAAGUAUCUGUUUUCUAUGAGUGUGGCCCCGUGGUGCUUAGACAACAUUUCCAAACAAGAACAACCCAAAUUCACACUUAGGAAGCCUAAAUUAUUGUUUUCCAGGAAAAAACUAACUUUUUUAACUGACACAUUUUAUGGGGUACAGUGGAGUGACUCAGUGUGUGAGAGCAACAAGGACGGUGGAAUGAACAUAGAGAGAUUGUGGCUUCGGACAUUUCGCAUUUCUUCGUCAUGUCAAUAUUCCAAGUCCUCACUGCCAUCUUGAAAUAUAUGUGGUACAAUCACAAUAUAUGGUAAAGUUUAAAUUUUAGAAACGUAUUGCAAUAAAAGACAUCUUGCCGUUAGCCCCCCACCGCAAAAUACUGCCCGCUUUCCCGUCGUUCUUAUCACUUCAUGAAGCAGUUGUGGAAGACUUCUUGCAUAUUUUCCUGAGGUUUGAUGAAAAAUAUGGUGAGUGCUUCUGCCGAGUGCCAUCCAGUGGAAAGGCGGGCUCACAAAGCCACGGUGGGGCCUCAUCUACCUUAUUCAGGAGGUCUGGCAUCACACGGCUCCGGCUCUCCUCCAAAGUCAAAACGACUUUGGCACGUACUUCGAAUCCAUUUAGGACAUGGAGCGGCUACGAUAGUGUAGCUGAAGACACUCACAAAAGAGGCCUUCUAGAGCCGCUUCAGGAAGAACAAUGGGAUAAGUUGGAAGUAAAAAGGAAUAUUUUGAGGGGGGGGUUAAUGACAAUCUGCCUUUUACCAUAGUGGUUUUUAAGAAUUCAAAUAUCCACUAUAUAUAUAUAUUUUUUUUUCUUUU